rfam:Trichobilharzia regenti genome assembly, scaffold: TRE_scaffold0017202
AUCCAUAUGACAAGUCCCAAAUAGGACGAAAUGAGCAUCCUGGAC